UACGAAGGGGGCUAGCGUUGCUCGGAAUCACUGGGCGUAAAGCGUAUGCAGGCGGAUCGUUAAGUCGGGGGUGAAAUCCCGAGGCUCAACCUCGGAACUGCCUUCGAUACUGGCGACCUUCGAGUCCGGGAGAGGUGAGUGGAACUCCGAGUGUAGAGGUGAAAUUCGUAGAUAUUCGGAAGAACACCCGUGGCGAAGGCGGCUCUCUGGGACGGUACUGACGCUGAGACGCGAAAGCGUGGGGAGCGAACAGG
rnacentral:rRNA from 1 species